GGAGAGGUGGCUGAGUGGUCUAAAGCACUACCUUGGAAAGGUAGCGUCUGGGAAACUGGACCGCGAGUUCGAAUCUCGCCCUCUCCG
rnacentral:tRNA from 1 species